rnacentral:rRNA from 1 species
GACGAACGCUGGCGGCGUGCUUAACACAUGCAAGUCGAACGGAAAGGCCCUGCUUUCGUGGGGUGCUCGAGUGGCGAACGGGUGAGUAACACGUGUGUCACCUGCCCUUGACUUUGGGAUAACUUCAGGAAACUGGGGCUACUACCGGAUAGGAGCUCCAGCUGCAUGGUGGGGGGUGGAUAGUUUCGGCGGUUGGGGUUGGACUCGCGGCUUAUCAGCUUGUUGGUGGGGUAGUGGCUUACCAAGGCUGUGACGGGUAGCCGGCCUGAGAGGGUGGCCGGCCACAUUGGGACUGAGAUACGGCCCAGACGCCUACGGGAGGCAUCAGUGGGGAAUAUUGCACAAUGGGCGGAAGCCUGAGGCAGCGACGCCGGGUGCGGGAUGACGGCCUUCGGGUUGUAAACCGCUUGCGCCUGUGACGAAGCGGGAGUGACGGUAAUGGGAAAAGAAGCACCGGCUAACUACGUG